rnacentral:lncRNA from 1 species
AUUUUUUUACUGUUAACUUUAGCUAUACCCACUAAGUAUUGAUAUAUGAAUUUUUCAUUGAUUUUUAAAUAUUGUCUAAUUUUAUUUUAGAUAAUAGAUUCUUGAGAUGUUCUUUUUAAGACCAUUUUUAUUUCUUCUAAACUAUAUCUUUUAAGUUAACUUGGGUUUGAAUAUUAUUCAGUUUUUUUCUAGACAUGAAGAAAAGGAAAUACACUAUCCUAAGGAAGAUGAAAAAUCCUGGAGGAAAAGAAUACUUGGAAGAGUUCUAGUUCAAAGUCAGAUAUUGUGACUUGAAAUAUCAGAAUCCUAGACAAAUGGAAAUGUAAAGAAGGAGGAAAGUACAAGAGCAUGUUUGAAGGCUGAUAAAAAGAAUUCUGGAGAAAGAGAGUGAUUGAAGACAAGAGAAAUGAGGAAAAAUCUAGAGAAGUAAAAAUGCAAGGGAACCUAAAAUAAAAAGCCUGACAAUAACGGAUGUUGUCAAGGAGGUGAGACAACCAAAUUUUAAUUUAAUGUUGGUGGGAAUAUAAAGAUAAGCAUUAAUUUUGUAAAAAGGCCCAUCAGUUUCUUAUAAAAGUAGCAAUAUACCUACUCUAUUAUCAGCAAUUCCAUUCAGAUAUUUUUCCAAAGGAAAUAUAAUCAUAUGUCCAUAAAAAGAAUGUUCAAGGGGGGUGAGGGAUAAAAGACUACAUAUUGGGUAGAGUGUACACUGCUUAGGUAACAGAUGCACCACGAUCUCAGAAAUUACCACUAACCAACUUAUCCAUGUAAGAAAAAGCCACCUGUACUCUCAAAACUAUUGAAACUAAAAUCAUAAAUAACAAAGAAUGUUCAUAGAAGUUUUAUUUAUAAUACCUAAAAACUAGAAAAAGUCCAAGUGCCCAUCAAUAUGAGAAUAGAUAAACAAACUUCACUAUAUUCAGAGAAUGUAAUACUAUUCAGCCAUAGAAAGAAACAAACUACUGAUACAUUUAGCAUGGAUGGAUCUCAAAAAAAUGAUUUGCAGAGCGAAAGAAGCCACCCACAAAGGAGUACAUACUGUAUUAUUCCAUUUUAUAUGAAGUUCUAAAACAAGCAAAACUAAUCUGUAUUGAAGAAACAGAACA